AAAGUUUCCUUCGGGAAACGAGUAAAGUGGCGAACGGGUGAGUAACACGUAAGAACCUGCCCUCGGGACUGGGAUAACAUCGCGAAAGCGGUGCUAAUACCGGAUAACAUCUACGGAUCAAAGGAGGCUCUGCUUCCACCUGAGGAGGGGCUUGCGCCCCAUUAGCUUGUUGGUAAGGUAACGGCUUACCAAGGCUACGAUGGGUAGCCGGCCUGAGAGGGUGUACGGCCACACUGGAACUUAGACACGGUCCAG
rnacentral:rRNA from 1 species